UAUCAUUCCAUGUAGUGAUUUUUUACAUGAAAAGUGUUUUGCAUUAUGAAUGUUAAUAUAAUAAAAAGUAAUCGUGGGGAAGAUAUUUAAGAGAACAAUAAUCAUAUUUUUUAUUUUGCAUAUGAAAUAUGAAAAUGGUGAAAAUAUGACGAUCGUCCAUGAUGAAAGUGCACACGUCAAUCACGAUGAGAAAAGCUUAUAUAUUUAUAAAUUGAACCAAUUAUGUAAAACAAAGGAACGACCAACGAGAAACAUCACAAGAAAAAUCAGCCAAAAUAUCCAUUAUCACUGAAUGAAGUACACACAAUGCCGGUAACUAAUGACUAUGGAUGUUAAAACAUAUAAAGUGAAUUUAAUUCAGAAUUUUAUCAUCCACAUCCUUAAAUGGUCAACUUCAUUAAAGUUAUCACUGAUUUUCAAACAGAUACGUACAUAUGACUAUCAAGUAAACAUAAACCUAACCGAACGACUUCUCAAACAAGUGAACGAAAAAAUCAAAUUCAAGUUGCUUUGGGUCAGAGUAUAAAAAUAAAUUAAUAAUAAAAUCUUCAUUCGUAUUGAAUUAGUUGCAUACAAAUACAAAAAAACCCGUAAGUAUAAAAACCGAAUUAUAUGUAAGCUAACUUUUUUUAAACAAAACAUUAUUAUUUCCAGUUUAUUUCAUCUUAAUUUAACCAAAAAAACAUUGAGUCUAACUCAAUCAAUCUGGUA